rnacentral:rRNA from 1 species
GACAGAGGGUGCAAACGUUGUUCGGAAUUACUGGGCGUAAAGCGUGUGUAGGCGGUCCAUUAAGUCGGGUGUGAAAGCCCUGGGCUCAACCCAGGAAGUGCACUCGAAACUGGCGGGCUAGAGUACUGGAGAGGUUGGUGGAAUUUACGGUGUAGCAGUGAAAUGCGUAGAGAUCGUAAGGAAGACCAGUGGCGAAGGCGGGUCUCUGGACAGUUCCUGACACUGAGGCACGAAGGCCAGGGGAGCAAACGGG